rnacentral:rRNA from 1 species
UAGGGAAUAUUGGUUAAUGUGCGAAAGCGCGAACCGGCAACGCCGCGUGCACGAUGAAGGCCUUCGGGUUGUAAAGUGCUUUUUGAGGGGAUGAGGAAGGACAGUACCCUCAGAAUAAGUCUCGGCCAACUACGUGCCAGCAGCCGCGGUAAUACGUAGGAGACGAGCGUUAUCCGGAUUUACUGGGCGUAAAGCGCGUGCAGGCGGUUCAGCAAGUUGGAUGUGAAAGCUCCCGGCUUAACUGGGAGAGGUCGUUCUAAACUACUGAACUUGAGAGUGGUAGAGGGAGGUGGAAUUCCGGGUGUAGUGGUGAAAUGCGUAGAUAUCCGGAGGAACACCAGUGGCGAAAGCGGCCUCCUGGACCAUUUCUGACGCUCAGACGCGAAAGCUAGGGUAGCGAACGG